GACGGACGUCGUAAUUUGCUAUAUUCAAGGAAACUACGACCGCGUCGUUAUGAGGGAAUUGGACUCCCUGAGUGUCUUCUUCGGUAAAGGUUAUGGGCUCUUCAGUCUUUUGCCGCUUGGGGGAUACAGCCGGUAUGUUGGUCGUUUCUUGCCGGGAUCCUCCCGAGAUGGUGUUGGCGGAAUCCGUCGGAGGCCGAUCGCCCGGCCACUCCAUGCCGGCGACCAUAGCCAGAGGAUGCGGGGCCUGGGAAACCAAAGGCGAGAUCGGGGUCCGAGAUAUGGCUGCGGAGGCCGUGGGUAGCUGUGCGGAUGCUUCGCGAGAAGGCAUCAGGCGAGGAUCCAGUGGGGGAAAGGAG
rnacentral:lncRNA from 1 species